rnacentral:lncRNA from 1 species
GCACAUUUCCAUUUUCCUUCUUCCUCUUCCACCUCUUCCUUCACCAGCUGACCAACUGAUUUACCAUUAAUGAGUGUAGGGGGAAUAUACUCCAGAGACAUACCAUUUGCAGCAAGGCGAUUCCUCUGAAAUAGGCUAGCCCACUUUUUGGGUGGGUCAAUUUUUGCUCCUUCCUCACUAGUGGCCUUUGGUACAUCAGGUUGUGGAGGUUGCUGCAUGUGGUCCUUACCCCUAUUCUCUUGGUCCAUCGGGACCAUCACUGGUCCAGCUUGAGGUUCUGAGUUGUUAUCAACCUUCUCAGUUGCUGUUAUUAUCACGGGAACUCCAGAUGGUUGCAAAUCUAUAGAUGCAUGAGGCAAUGAAACAGUAUCUUCAGUGGGCUUCAAUGGAACAGUGUUAUCAACCUUUUCAGUUGCUGUUAGUAGCACGGGAACUCCAGAUGGUUGCAAAUCUACAGAUGCAUGAGGCAAUGAAACAGUAUCUUCAGAGGGCUUCAAUGGAAAAGUGUUAUCAACCUUCUCAGUUGCUGUUAGUAGCACGGGAACUCCAGAUGGUUGCAAAUCUACAGAUGCAUGAGGCAAUGAAAC